rnacentral:lncRNA from 1 species
ACAUGCCCAAGUGAAGUCAGGGAGUGGUUGAGGGAAUAUUUACUGUUUUAUUCAAAUCCAUCCCCCACUGUUAAAAUAACAAUGCGUGCUAUAAUAAUAGAUGAAUAUUAUUAUUGUAGUAUUUGAAAGAUAAUACAUUUUUAUUCCUUAAACGUUUAAAUUUAUUAUUAACAAAAUAGCCCUCUCCUAGGAGCCUUGGCACCCAUAAAAUAUUUUAAAACAGUAUUCUUACCCUCUU